rnacentral:rRNA from 1 species
UACGUAGGGUGCAAGCGUUGUCCGGAAUUAUUGGGCGUAAAGAGCUCGUAGGCGGUCUGUCGCGUCGGCUGUGAAAUCCCGAGGCUCAACCUCGGGUCUGCAGUCGAUACGGGCAAACUAGAGUAUUGCAGGGGAGACUGGAAUUCCUGGUGUAGCGGUGAAAUGCGCAGAUAUCAGGAAGAACACCCGUUGCGAAGGCGGCUCUCUGGACCAGCACUGACACUGAGGCACGAAAGCGUGGGGAGCAAACAGG